rfam:Ictidomys tridecemlineatus contig024743, whole genome shotgun sequence.
GGGGGUGUAGCUCAGUGGUAAAACAUGUGCUUAGCAUGCACAAGGACCUGGGUUGAAUUCCUCAGCACCACCC